GGUCGGGUGGCCGAGUGGUUAGGCAGAGGUCUGCAAAACCUUGUACGGCGGUUCGAAUCCGUUCCCGACCU
rnacentral:tRNA from 2 species